rnacentral:tRNA from 1 species
GGCCGAGUGGCUCGAAUGGCAAUGGCGGCGCACUGCAACUGCGCACUUUCGCGGGUUUGAUUCCCGCCUCGGUCU